rnacentral:rRNA from 1 species
ACGGAGGGUGCAAGCGUUAUCCGGAAUCACUGGGUUUAAAGGGUGCGUAGGCGGCCAGAUAAGUCAGAGGUGAAAGUUUCCGGCUCAACCGGGAGAUUGCCUUUGAUACUGUUUGGCUUGAAUCAGAUUGAGGUUGGCGGAAUGUGACAUGUAGCGGUGAAAUGCAUAGAUAUGUCAUAGAACAUCGAUUGCGAAGGCAGCUGGCUGGAUCUGUAUUGACGCUGAGGCACGAAAGCGUGGGGAGCAAACAGGAUUAGAUACCCUGGUAGUCCACGCCCUAAACGAUGUUUACUCGACAUGGGAUUUUCGGAUUCUGUGUCCAAGCGAAAGCGUUAAGUAAACCACCUGGGGAGUACGUUCGCAAGAAUG